rnacentral:rRNA from 1 species
UACGUAGGGGGCAAGCGUUGUCCGGAAUUAUUGGGCGUAAAGAGCGCGUAGGCGGUUUGUCGCGUCUGCCGUGAAAGUCCGGGGCUCAACUCCGGAUCUGCGGUGGGUACGGGCAGACUAGAGUGAUGUAGGGGAGACUGGAAUUCCUGGUGUAGCGGUGAAAUGCGCAGAUAUCAGGAGGAACACCGGUGGCGAAGGCGGGUCUCUGGGCCGAUACUGACGCUGAGGAGCGAAAGCGUGGGGAGCGAACGGG